CUUAGCUUGCUAAGGCUGAUGGCGACCGGCGCACGGGUGAGUAACACGUAUCCAACCUGCCGUCUACUCUUGGACAGCCUUCUGAAAGGAAGAUUAAUACAAGAUGGCAUCAUGAGUUCACAUGUUCACAUGAUUAAAGGUAUUCCGGUAGACGAUGGGGAUGCGUUCCAUUAGAUAGUAGGCGGGGUAACGGCCCACCUAGUCUUCGAUGGAUAGGGGUUCUGAGAGGAAGGUCCCCCACAUUGGAACUGAGACACGGUCCAAACUCCUACGGGAGGCAGCAGUGAGGAAUAUUGGUCAAUGGACGAGAGUCUGAACCAGCCAAGUAGCGUGAAGGAUGACUGCCCUAUGGGUUGUAAACUUCUUUUAUACGGGAAUAAAGUGAGCCACGUGUGGUUUUUUGUAUGUACCGUAUGAAUAAGGAUCGGCUAACUCCGUGCCAGCAGCCGCGGUAAUACGGAGGAUCCGAGCGUUAUCCGGAUUUAUUGGGUUUAAAGGGAGCGUAGGCGGAAUUUUAAGUCAGUUGUGAAAGUUUGCGGCUCAACCGUAAAAUUGCAGUUGAUACUGGAAUUCUUGAGUGCGGUAAAGGCAGGCGGAAUUCGUGGUGUAGCGGUGAAAUGCUUAGAUAUCACGAAGAACUCCGAUUG
rnacentral:rRNA from 1 species